CAACCACAGAUGCACAGGAGCUGAGAAUUCUCCCAAGCCAAAUACCUGCAUCCAAGAUCUUGUCAUGUUCUAUUUUGGAGAAACCCAAAUGAAGAUGUAUUCUUCCUUGAGUAAUUUCAGAUGCUGGUGUCAUCUCUGGAUCCUCUGGGGUUAAAAAUCCAUGGACACAAUCUCUAAAUCCUAUUCCAGUUCCAGCCUCCUAUGGUCUUAGAGAGAAAAAUCUCAUUAAGUGAGAAUCUAAUGGGCUGGAAAAAUUCAACAGACUAACCUCAGAUGAAGUAAUAUAUUUAUUGAAAAAAAUAGCACCUUGUUAGCUGGAAAAUAAUGAUACAUUGACUUAC
rnacentral:lncRNA from 10 species